UACGUACGAGGCGAGCGUUAUCCGGAAUUACUGGGCGUAAAGCGCGCGCAGGUGGCCGAUUAAGUCGGACGUGAAAUCUCCCGGCCUAACUGGGAGGGGUCGUUCGAGACUGUCCGGCUUGAGGACUGCAGAGGUGGGUGGAAUUCCUGGUGUAGUGGUGAAAUGCGUAGAGAUCAGGAGGAACACCGGUGGCGAAGGCGGCCCACUGGGCAGUCACUGACGCUGAGGCGCGAAAGCUCGGGGAGCGAACGGG
rnacentral:rRNA from 1 species